GUGUCAAUGGAACAUUCCAGUGCAAAUCGAGUGCAUGCAUGAUUGUGUGCGUGUAGUUAAUCGAGCUGUCAUUGAACAGCUGAUGCUUUACUGUUUUCAUUUUCUCGGGCUGUAUACGUGAUUCCGGCUACAAAAAAUGGAAUUAAGAAUUUAGAUAAUGUUGGUUCUGCUGCAGAGCGAUAGCGGGGUGAAAUUCUGCAUUUGAUUAGGUUUUAUCGAAAUCUGCCGUUAUGUGAUUGUUUCAAUAUGGUAUGCGCUGAAACUGAAACCAGGAAAAAAUGGAGAGUUACUACCGGCGCGGAGUCAGUGCCAUCAAUCGAAAAACCUAAAAGCUGACGAUAAAAUUGAUUAAAGCCGAAUCAAUUUCUAGACGUGCUGAUGGUUUUGGGCUCUAGCUGUAGAUCGCCGGCAACGGUAGCAAGGACAUUCUGCUCAGAUGGCAUUCAAAGUGAGCAUGGUUAGGUUUAUACAUCGGCUAAUAAGUUAUUUGAUCGGAUUUUUACACCGCAUUUCUAUCCGAACGAACAGUCAACUGCAGAGUAUCUGCAGCGGUGGAAGUUCAACCUGUUCAACCAUAAAGUAAAACUACAAACCCUAGUUCAUGAGGUUAACCUCACGAAUUAUCGUCGCAGUGUUAGCAGCAUAUUAGGCCCUAUACAUUGCUGAACUUCUUGUAGCAAUAGCUCGAGCAAACAAGCUGGAACCUUUUACUGAGGAACCGAUUUUCAGAGUCUCUUUUGCUCUUGAAGCUGGUGGAAAACAACAUCAUCCUGCAGACGACGACAACAACGAAACAAAUGUACUUGAUGCAACUGCCUAGGGCCGGAUUCAAAAUUUCUCGGCGCUAAAAUUUUCACUAUUAUCAAACGACACAUUUAAAGUUUGAAUUAAAAAUCAGAUUUAGAGAAGGAAAUUUAUCACGGCAUCAGCUAUUUUUGGACAUUUUUCAGAGUUGUUGCUAUUGUCAUGCUCCUCUCAAUGCAUUGGUCAUGGCUCACUGUCGUAGCAUAGUGUCGACAGGACACAUUACCGUGUUGCGAUGAGCAGCCUGUAACGCCCAGUUUUGUGUUCUCAUAAGACGAGUCCAGGCAUCCGGAGGAAACGAUCGCUACAAUGCUCAAAGAUUCCAGCCAGGCUUACCGGUGUCAAUUCCUACUCGGAUUGCCGCAUUUCUAGCGC